UACCAGCACCCCGAGUGGUCGGGACGUUUAUUGGGCCUAAAGCAUCCGUAGCCGGUUCUGCAAGUCUUCCGCUAAAUCCACCUGCUUAACAGAUGGGCCGCGGAAGAUACUAUAGAGCUAGGAGGCGGGAGAGGCAAGCGGUACUCGAUGGGUAGGGGUAAAAUCCGUUGAUCCAUUGAAGACCACCGGUGGCGAAGGCGGCAUCCUGGACCGACACUGACGCUGAGGAGCGAAAGCCAGGGGAGCAAACGGG
rnacentral:rRNA from 1 species